rnacentral:rRNA from 1 species
AUUGAACGCUGGCGGCAUGCUUUACACAUGCAAGUCGAACGGCAGCGCGGGCUUCGGCCUGGCGGCGAGUGGCGAACGGGUGAGUAAUACAUCGGAACGUGCCCAGUAGGGGGGGAUAGCUCGGCGAAAGCCGGAUUAAUACCGCAUACGACCUGAGGGGGAAAGCGGGGGAUCUUCGGACCUCGCGCUAUUGGAGCGGCCGAUGGCAGAUUAGCUAGUUGGUGGGGUAAAGGCCUACCAAGGCGACGAUCUGUAGCUGGUCUGAGAGGACGACCAGCCACACUGGGACUGAGCCACGGCCCAGACUCCUACGGGAGGCAGCAGUGGGGAAUUUUGGACAAUGGGCGAAAGCCUGAUCCAGCAAUGCCGCGUGUGUGAUGAAGGCCUUCGGGUUGUAAAGCACUUUUGGCGGGAACGAAAAGGACUGUGCUAAUACCACGGUUCGAUGACGGUACCCGCAGAAUAAGCACCGGCUAACUACGUG